GAGAGAUCCAUAGAACAAAUUGUUGCAUGGACUGUGAAAUGUUGUAUGGACUGUGAAAUAAUACGAAACAACCGUUGUACACUAAAAGCUUAAUUUAUUAGAGAAUGGUGUAUUUUUAUAUUUAACACUCUCCCUUAUGUCUUAGCUCGAGACUUUUUGUAAGGCUUAUGACGUGGACUUAAAAAACCUGGCGUGACUCGAACUCAGGACUUUCUAGUCUGAUACCUUGUGAAAUAACCGUUAUACUCUAAAAGCUUAAGCUAUUAGAGAACGAUGCAUUUUUAUAUUUAACAUGGACCAAGUAAUAGUAGUAAAAGAAAAUUAU
rnacentral:lncRNA from 1 species